rnacentral:lncRNA from 1 species
UCGGCGGCAGGUUCGGCGGCCGAAAGUCCCUCCAGAGCCGAAAGUCAGGCAGGUUCGGCGGCACCUUUGGCGGCCGAAACUCCUAGACAGAGACGAAACUCAUGCAUGUUCGGCGGCACUUUCGGCGGCCGAAACUGGCAGACAGAGACGAAAGUCUCCUUUCGGGGGCAGGCUUCGGCAGCCGAAAGGCUUGCCUCCCUAGCCAUGUUCGGCGGCCGAAAGUCCUUCGGCUGCCGAACCUGGUUUCUGCCAAAGGGCAGAAACUUGGCUCCUUUUGCACAUUUCGCCUCCCAACCUUCCAAACAUGCAUCAAACCUAUUCUACAACACUCAUAUACAAGCAUACAUGUUCCUAGGGGCCUCAAACCAUCAUAAACCCCAUCUACAACACAUCAAGCAUCCACAUUGUUCAUGAACAUACAUUUAUACCCAUAAACAUAACCAUAACCUAAACAUGCAUUCUAACCCAUAGAUCUACUUAAAACUUACUUAAAACAUGCAAUGAGCUUAAGAUCGGCU